rnacentral:lncRNA from 1 species
AUGGGGCAGCAUGGGGUCCCUAUGGGUCCUUAUGGGUCCCUGUGCGUCCCUAUAGGUCCCUAUGUGACCCUGUGGGUACUUGUGGGGUCCCUGUGGGUCUCUAUUGGGUCCCUAUGGGGCACUGUGGGUCCCUAUAGGCCCUUAUGGGGUCCCCAUGGGUCCCUAUGUAUUCCUAUGGGUCUCUAUAAGUCCCUAUGGGUCCUUAUGGGGUCUCUAUAUGUCCCUAUGGGUCCUUAUGGGGUCCCUAUGGGUCCUUAUGGGAUCCCUAUGUGUCUUUAUAGGGUCUGUAUGGGUCGCUAUAGGUCCUUAUGGGGUCCCUAUAAGUCCCUAUGUGUCAUUAUAGGUCACUAUAGGCCCUUAUGGGGUCCCCAUGAGUUCCUAUGGGUCCUUAUAUGUUCCUAUGGGUCCUUAUGGGGUCCUUAUGGGAUCCCUAUAUGUCUUUAUGGGGUCCUUAUGGGUCCCUAUAGGCCCUUAUGGGGUCCCUAUGGGUUCCUAUGGGGUCCCUAUGUGUCUUUAUGGGGUCCUUAUGGGUCUCUGUGGGUCUCUAUUGGGUCCCUAUGGGGCACUGUGGGUCCCUAUAGGUCCCUAUGGGCCCUUAUGGGUCGCUAUAGGUCCUUAUGGGAUCCCUAUGGGUUCCUAUGGGUCAUUAUGGGAUCCCUAUAGGUGCUUAUUGGGUCCCUAUGUGUCUUUAUAGGGUCCUUAUGGGUCUCUGUGGGUCUCUAUUUGAUCCCUAUAAGUCUCUAUGGGGUCCCUAUAGAUCCCUAUGUGUCCCUAUACAUCCCCAAAGCCACCAAUCACCAUCCACCUUUAUUGAUACCCCCCCCAUGGGUCACGUGAUCACCCCAUCAUGGCGGCCCCCCUUCCGACCGUCCCGCUUCCUGCCGGCCGCCGCCAUGACGGUCACGUGACUGCUGCUCCGGCGGCCCAUUGGUGUAGAUCUGCUUCCCCACGGGGUCAACCAGGAUCACCACCCCCCACGCGCCGACACCUGACAAGGUCAAAGGGCAAAGGUCACCUUUUAGCCCCGCCCCCUCCGCCA